rnacentral:rRNA from 1 species
CCUACGGGGUGCAGCAGUGAGGAAUAUUGGUCAAUGGACGAGAGUCUGAACCAGCCAAGUAGCGUGAAGGAUGACUGCCCUAUGGGUUGUAAACUUCUGUUAUAGGGGAAUAAAAUGUUACACGUGGGGGAUUUUGUAUGUACCAUAUGAAUAAGGAUCGGCUAACUCCGUGCCAGCAGCCGCGGUAAUACGGAGGAUCCGAGCGUUAUACGGAUUUAUUGGGGUUAAAGGGAGCGUAGGUGGCUUGUUAAGUCAGUUGGGAAAGUUUGCGGCUCAACCGUAAAAUUGCAGUUGAAACUGGCAGUCUUGAUUUCAGUAGCGGUGGGCGUCCUUCGUGUUGUAGC